rnacentral:snRNA from 1 species
AUUGCUACUUGCUUCAACAGAUACUAAAAUUGGCAGAUAUAGAAAAGAUUAGCAUAGCUCCUGCACAAGGGCAAGACAGAUUCAUGUAGUGCUUCAUAUUUUU